UACGUAGGGUCCGAGCGUUGUCCGGAAUUAUUGGGCGUAAAGGGCUCGUAGGCGGUUUGUCGCGUCGGGAGUGAAAACACGGGGCUUAACUGUGGGCGUGCGGUCGAUACGGGCAUCACUGGAGUUCGGCAGGGGAGACUGGAAUUCCUGGUGUAGCGGUGAAAUGCGCAGAUAUCAGGAGGAACACCGGUGGCGAAGGCGGGUCUCUGGGCCGAUACUGACGCUGAGGAGCGAAAGCGUGGGGAGCGAACAGG
rnacentral:rRNA from 1 species